GCUGCGGCAUCCUGACGCCUGAGGCGUCCUCUCGCUCCGCCGCCGCCGGCGCGAUCGAUUGGCCGUCGGAGAGCACUCAUGCGUGCCGCCACACGAAUCCUCUCGCCACCAUGCUCCUGCUGGCUCGAUCCGCCCCCGGGUUUCACCGCCGCCACCUGCUCUGGUGCCGCGUGGUGCCCUGGGCCGCUGGGCGCUAGCAGAUGGGGUUUCAGAAGCUACCAAAUGCAUUGCUGGAUCGGAGCAAUUCAGCAGGCUUGGAGCAGUUGCUAGCUUGCAUACACAGACGACGACGUUGAGAUGCAGGGAAGGCAAAGCACACAGGGCCCAGCUUGCUGCAGGUGAAUGUGGCAUAAUGGCAUUGUUACACUGGGACAACUACUCCUUUGUGCUUUGUAUGAUGAUCAGCAUGUUGAUCGAGGUAUUGUAGAUGCAGCCAUGCAUGCGUGAUGCAUGUAGAUAUUGCGAAAGAGGAGGUAGCUAGAGGAAGUUCGCUAGCUGGCUGUCUACGUCGAGUGUAAACAGUGUCAAUUUUGCCUUCCAUCUUUUUCCUCCUCAGAACGCUCUAAAAGCGGUGAGAUUUUUUUUC